UGUCCACGCUUCUAGCGCCAAGCGAUGGGCCCCGGUCUCCCUUCAGGGUUGUGCCGGUCGGGCCUGCGCGACCUGUUCCGAGGACACUGUCAGGCGGGGAGUUUGACUCGGGCGGUACAUCUGUCAA
rnacentral:lncRNA from 1 species